UGGUAAUGCUGAAUGCCUCUGUGGAGGGGGACAGGUAGCAGAGGGGAAUGGGAGGGAGACCUAUUUAAUUCAGAUUUUUUUGUGUGUGCUUGAAUUUUGUUUCUCUGGGGCCAACUUUCACCAUUUCAAAAAGUAGAUAGUAAAACUUCAAAGUAUGUGGAACACUUGGGAACUUUUUUUUUUCUUUGGGACAGAAUCUUGCUCUGUUGCCCAGGCUGGAGUACAGUGGCACAGUCUCGGCUCACUGCAAUCUUCUUGUCCCAGGUUCAAGUGAUUCUUGUGCCUCAGCCUUCCAAAUAGCUGAGAUUACAGGCAUGCACCACCACGACUGAUUAAUUUUUCGUAAUUUUAGUAGAGAUGUGAUUUCGCCAUGUUGCCAGGCUUGUCUCAACCUCUUAAGCUCUGGUGAUCCAUCCGCCUCAGCCUUCCAAAGUGCUGGGAUUACAGGUGUGAGCCACGGUGCCCAGCCAGGUUUUUCAUUUCUUUUAAGCGCAUGAAAGAAGUACAUUUAAUCUGGCAAGGCUGGCUCUUGCUGAAGUGGUCUCGGAGAGGCCAUUGGAACAACAAAGAAAGAAAUGUCAUUGGCAAGUUCAGAUACUAAAGGGUUGGAAAGUGAUCUGGCACUCAGCAUCCUGCAGCUUGAGGGACAUUUGGAGUUCUUCCUGCCUGCUUCCCACUGCUGAGCAAUUCCCAGCCCAGCCUGAUAUUUCAAAUGAUUUCCAGGAAGGGGAACCUGGCACCAGCUGUACCCCCUUGAAGUUCUUGUGACUGUCUUCUUCAAAUGCAUCCGCCUGCUUCUUCUUCAAAAGACAAGAGAAAAUGCUGCUGGCGAGCUAAGAGACUUCAAAGAUGGUUUUGUCAUGUGUUUUUUGAGUCAAGAGGCUAAGUUUCUGAGAGGAGGAGAGAUUUUUUUCAAGGACACAUACAGUUAAUUGGUGACAGGACUCCAGUGUCCACUUAGCUAGGCUCCUUCUUGCUCCUGUUCUGCCCAGGGUCCUUAGUUCUUCCAGGCUGUUCCACCCAGUAGGCCUCCCAGGUUCUCAAAGUGAUAGCACAGGGAGAUCUCCUGGGGAAAAAAAUGACCUUGACAUCCAUGGUCUGUGAGUCUGGGGAAGGCUGCAUUCUAUAGCAGCCUCCUGGAGAUUUACAGAGCAUGUUGGCAGAUUAAGGGUUCUGCAGAGUCCUGCAUAAAGAAAACUACUUAAAAAAAAAUUCCUGGCCAGGCACGGUGGCUCACGCCUGUAAUCCCAGCACGUUGGGAGGCUGAGGCGGGUGGAUCACUUGAGAUCAGGAGUUCAAGACCAGACUGGCCAACAUGGUGAAACCCCAUCUCUACUAAAAAUACAAAAAAUUAGCCGGGCGUGGUGAUGCGUGCCUGUAAUCCCAGUGACUCGGGAGGCUGAGGCAGGAGAAUCACUUGAACCCAGGAGGCAGAAGUGGCAGUGAGCCGAGAUCACACAACUGCACUCCAGCCUGGUCUUGCUGUGUCACAAAAACAGAGUCUUGCUCUGUCCCAAAAACAAAAACAAAAACAAAUUCCUCCCAGGUCAGGAUAUCAAUAGUACUCACCUCGUAGUGUUGUCAUGAAGAUUAGUAUCACGAGGCUACAACCAUUUAUCGGAUAUCAGAGUUUCAAAAUUUACACUAAAUGGGUUCAAUAAGAUUAUGUAUAACCUCAGGACAGGUCAGGAUUUCCUUCCAAAUGAGUGCUGGCAUCAGACUUUUGAGAAACAGUUCAUUUCAUAGCCUUUUUUGUUUUGUUUUGUUUUUCAGAGAUGUUUCUAGUUGUCAUUAUGGGCUUUUUUUUUUUUUUUCUGAUGCCUGUCUUCCUCCUGCAGUAUGAUAGCCUUUUUUGAUUUUAGAAUUGUGGUUAAAGGAAUGAGGACUUGUAAUGAAGAUAAUAGCUAAUAUUUAUUGAGCAUUUUUGUGAAACCCGGCAAUGUUCCAAGUGCCUCACAUCAAUGAACUUAUUGAAUCCACAGAGCAACUGCACGUGACAGAUAGUGUGGUAAACCCUGUCGGGCAAAUGAGCAAACUGAGGCGUAGGGGGACUAAGUAACGCACUCAAGCAGCAGAGCUGGGAGUAAAUGAGACAAUAUGUAUGAAUUGUUUAUCACAAUGCCUAGCACAUAAUCAACAAUCCAUAUAAACAUUAGCUAUUAUCCUCAUUAAUGAUGGGAGAAUCAUGACUAAUCUUUUUUAUUUUUUGUUUUUCAGACAGGAUCUUGCUCUGUCACCAGGCUGGAGUACAGUGGUGCAAUCAUGGCUCACUGCAGCCUCAAUCUCUUGGGCUCAAGCAAUCCUCCUAGCUCAGUCCCCAAGCAGCUAGGACAGGUGUGUGCCACCACACUCAGCUAAGUUUAAAAAUCUUUGUAGAGAUGAGGUUUUGCCAUGUUGCCCAGACUGGUCUUGAACUCCUAGGUUCAAGCAAUCCUCCCGCCUCAGCCUCCCAAAGUAUUGGGAUUACAGGCGUGAGCCACCACGUCUGGCCUUGACUAACUUUUAUCUUCUUUGCACCCAUGUAGAAUUUCUAAUUUUACUAUAAUAAAAAUAUUCUGGGCUGUGUGUGGUAACUCAUGCCUGUAAUCCCGGCACUUUGGAAGGCCAAGGUGGGCGGAUCACUUGAGGUCAGGAGUUCAAGACCAGGCUGGCCAACUUAGCAAAACCCCAUCUCUACUAAAAAUACAAAAAUUAGCCAGGCAUGGUGGCACAUGCCUGUAGUCCUAGCUACUUGGGAGGCUGAGGCAUGGGGAGGCAGAGGUUGCAAUGAGCUGAGAUCAUGCCACUGUACUCCUGUGAUGGAGUGAGACUCUGUCUAAAAAAAAAAAAAAAAAAAAAAAAUUAUAUGUGGGGGAAAAUGUUUUUCAAAAGAUUAGACAAUUUCUGAAUUGAGCCUAAUAUCUCAAUAUCUCUCAGUCUCUCUUCUCACUCCAUCAGGUCUGAUGCUGGUCUGGGCAGAAAUGGAUUUGUCACCUCAAAGAUGACUUCCUUGGGCACAACUAGGCCAGACGCUGGGUACCUUGUGGUGGCCCUGGAGGGGUACAGCUUCAAGAAAGAACUUGCCGAUCCCCUGCAAAGAAUGCAGUUAGCCAACAGCCUUCGGCCUCAGCACAUUUGAGAUCUGCCUUAACUUUCAAGCCAAGGCUAGCUCUUCCUGAGCAGGCUCCAGCGAAGAACCUGCAUGGAGGGACUAGGACCCGACCAGUUCUGCCCAACAUGGGGCUCCCCUAACAAACAGUCUUUGUUCUGGAGCUCCCAAACUGAGUUGACAAAGCCUCUGUCAGCCCUGCAUUGCCGUCUGAGGCUCCCCUGCUGAGUGCUGCUUUCACCCACUUUUGUCUUUCACAGGCAUGACACUCCUCCCUCUCGUCCUACUAGCUCCACUUUACCAUCUGCUUCCCAGAGGACUGGAACUGACAUGCUGCCUUUACUACCCCGCAACCAUUCUCACCCCACCUCCACAUAUGCCUGCCCAAAUAAUCUUGAUUUUGGGCUCAGCUACUAGAUCGAAAUCCCUUCAUCUUUGGAGAGUGGGUUGCUCCCCAGCCCCAGCAGAUAAAUCAUGAUCUGUCUUAAGUAGACCCAGUAAGUCCUUUCUGUUCUACAGGAAUUGGUCCAGGAUGGGUGCCUGGUCCGCCUUUUAGCCAAUGAGAGGUCAGGGGAAAUCUGGGGCUUCACUUUACUAAUAACAUAGACCUUCAGGUAGUUAAAGCCUUCUGCCCUGCCCCUUCCCUUCCAUUUUGAUCAGUGUCCUGUGAUCAAAUGAUGUGAGGCACUGCAGCAGCUGUUUUGGGCAAUGAGUUUGAGGACAAAAGCCAACUGCUGAAGAUGACAGAGCAGAAAGAUGAGAAGAGCCUGAGUCCUGAAGAACACCCCCGAGCCCCUGCAAUGACUCUGGAGCUGCUGACCUCCACAUGUUUUGCUAUAAAAAAAAAGAUUGCAUUUCUUCUUUGCUCAAGCCACCAUGAAUCAGGCAUGCUGUGACUGGCCGCUGAAAAUAUGGUAACGCAUGCAGUCACAUUCCCCAUGUUCUAUUCUCCAGAUUACCUUCAAACAACUGAAGGUACAGGACUCAGAGUUCCCGUUGAGGUAUUUGAACUAUUUUCCUGGAAGGGAAAUAUUCAAAAAGUCCUCUCAGCCCCGGGCACAGUGGCUUACACUGUGGAUUACAAAAGGACUUUUAAGGACUCAUAGGAUUACAAAAUCCUGUAAUCCCAGCACUUUGGUGGGCAGGUCACCUGAGAUCAGGAGUUCAAGACCAGCCUGGCCAAAAUGGUGAAAUCCCGUCUGUACUAAAAUUAUAAAAAUUACCGAGUGUGGAGGUGCAUGCCUGUAAUUCCAGCUACUGGGGAGGCUGAGGCAGG
rnacentral:lncRNA from 1 species